AUUGAACGCUGGCGGCAGGCCUAACACAUGCAAGUCGAACGAGUGGCGGACGGGUGCGUAAUGUCUGGGAAACUGCCUGAUGGAUGGGGAUAACUACUGGAAACGGUAGCUAAUACCGCAUACCAUCAGAUGUGCCCAGGUGGUUUGAGCUUGUUGGUGGGGUAACGGCUCACCAAGGCGACGAUCCCUAGCUGGUCUGACAGGGUGACCAGCCACCCGGGAACGGAGACACGCUCCGAAUCCCUACGGGAGGCGGCAGUGGGGAAUAUUGCACAAUGGGCGAAAGCCUGCUGCAGCCAGGCCGCGUGGAUGAAGAAGGCCUUCGGGUUGAAAAGUACUUUCAGCGGGGAGGCGUUACCCGCAGAAGAAGCACCGGCUAACUCCGUGCCAGCCGCCGCGGUAAUUC
rnacentral:rRNA from 1 species